rnacentral:pre_miRNA from 1 species
AUAGUCUAAUUCGCAUUAAUCUAUAUGUGUUGGUAUGGGUUGGAGUAGAAUUUGAACUAAAUUCCACCCCAAUCCACUCUAACACAUGUGGAUUGCGGUGAAUUCGUCA